rnacentral:rRNA from 1 species
UACGUAGGGUGCAAGCGUUGUCCGGAAUUAUUGGGCGUAAAGAGCGCGUAGGCGGCCCUGUAAGUCCGCUGUGAAAGUCAAGGGCUCAACCCUUGAAUGCCGGUGGAUACUGCAGGGCUAGAGUCCGGAAGAGGUGAGUGGAAUUCCUGGUGUAGCGGUGAAAUGCGCAGAUAUCAGGAAGAACACCCGUGGCGAAGGCGGCUCUCUGGGACGGUACUGACGCUGAGACGCGAAAGCGUGGGGAGCAAACAGG